ACCUGGUUGAUCCUGCCAGUGGUAUAUGCUUGUCUCAAGGACUAAGCCAUGCAAGUCUAAGUAUAAGUGAUUCUGAUGACGAAACUGCGAAUGGCUCGGUAAAACAGCUAUAAUUUCUUCGAUGGUAAAAUACUACUCGGAUAACCGUAGUAAUUCUAGAGCUAAUACGUGCCAUAAAUGCGGGGGCAACUCCGUGGUGCCAAUUAGAUAACAACACCAACAUAUGGUGAUUCAUAAUUUUCUUUCUGAUCGCUAUGCCUUUGUGCAGCGACGCAUCGUUCAAAUUUCUGACCUAUCAACUUUCGAUGGUAAGGUAGUGUCUUACCAUGGUGGUGACGGGUAACGGACCGUGGGUGCGGGACUCCGGAGAGGGAGCCUGAGAAACGGCUACCACAUCCAAGGAAGGCAGCAGGCGCGCAAAUUACCCAAUCCGGACAUCGGGAGGUAGUGACAAGAAAUAUCAAUAGGGGACCCGAUGGGUCUUCUAAUUGGAAUGAGAACAUGGUAAACAGCUUAUCGAGGAUCCAGCAGAGGGCAAGUCUGGUGCCAGCAGCCGCGGUAAUUCCAGCUCUGUAAGCGUAUACCAAAGUUGUUGCAGUUAAAACGCUCGUAGUCGGAUUUUGGUGGUUCCGCGGGGACGCGCGUUGAGCGUGGGUCCUGUCGGGGCUGCUUUCGUGGAGGACGUGCACAGGCGGCUUUGCUGUCGGCUGUGUUUUUGCGUCACCACCAUUUACUGUGAAAAAAUUAGAGUGUUCAAAGCAGGCGUUUGCCAUGAAUACAUUAGCAUGGAAUAAUAGAAUAGGACUUGGAUUCUAUUUUGUUGGUUUGUGAGGGCCAAGUAAUGAUUAAGAGGGACAGUUGGGGGCAUUUGUAUUCCUGCGCUAGAGGUGAAAUUCUUAGAUUGCAGGAAGACAAACCGCUGCGAAAGCGUCUGCCAAGGAUGUUUUCAUUGAUCAAGAACGAAAGUAAGGGGAUCGAAGACGAUCAGAUACCGUCGUAGUCUUUACUAUAAACGAUGAGGACUGGGGAUCAGGCGUGGAAUUACGAUGACCCGCCUGGCACCCUCCGGGAAACCAAAGUGUUUGCUUUCUGGGGGGAGUAUGGUCGCAAGGCUGAAACUUAAAGGAAUUGACGGAAGGGCAUCACCGGGUGUGGAGCCUGCGGCUUAAUUUGACUCAACACGGGGAAACUUACCAGGUCAGGACAUAGUGAGGAUUGACAGAUUGAGAGCUCUUUCUUGAUUCUAUGGUUGGUGGUGCAUGGCCGUUCUUAGUUGGUGGAGUGAUUUGUCUGGUUAAUUCCGUUAACGAGCGAGACCUGGGCGUGCUAACUAGGGGCUAUUACCAUGUUUUUGGGUAGUGAGUUUUUGUGACCCCUUCUUAGACGGACUGCAGGCGUCUAGUCUGCGGAAGCUCCAGGCAAUAACAGGUCUGAGAUGCCCUUAGAUGUUCUGGGCCGCACGCGUGCUACACUGAGCGGGUCAGCGGGUGUGGAUGCGCGAAAGCGUUUCCUAAUCCCCAAAUCCGCUCGUGAUGGGGAUAGACGGUUGCAAUUUUCCGUCUUGAACGAGGAAUACCUUGUAAGCGUGGGUCAUCAUCCCACGCUGAAUACGUCCCUGCCCUUUGUACACACCGCCCGUCGCUCCUACCGAUUGAGUGGUCCGGUGAGGUCUUGGGAUUGAUAUGAGGGGAGCGUUUACGCUCGUUUUGUGUCGAGAACUUGCCCGAACCUUAUCACUUAGAGGAAGGAGAAGUCGUAACAAGGUUUCCGUAGGUGAACCUGCGGAAGGAUCAUUC
rnacentral:rRNA from 1 species